rnacentral:rRNA from 1 species
GAUGAACGCUGGCGGCGUGCCUAAUACAUGCAAGUCGAGCGAAUGGAUUAAGAGCUUGCUCUUAUGAAGUUAGCGGCGGACGGGUGAGUAACACGUGGGUAACCUGCCCAUAAGACUGGGAUAACUCCGGGAAACCGGGGCUAAUACCGGAUAACAUUUUGAACCGCAUGGUUCGAAAUUGAAAGGCGGCUUCGGCUGUCACUUAUGGAUGGACCCGCGUCGCAUUAGCUAGUUGGUGAGGUAACGGCUCACUAAGGCAACGAUGCGUAGCCGACCUGAGAGGGUGAUCGGCCACACUGGGACGGGAACACGGCCCAGACUCCUACGGGAGGCAGCAGUAGGGAAUCUUCCGCAAUGGACGAAAGUCUGACGGAGCAACGCCGCGUGAGUGAUGAAGGCUUUCGGGUCGUAAAACUCUGUUGUUAGGGAAGAACAAGUGCUAGUUGAAUAAGCUGGCACCUUGACGGUACCUAACCAGAAGGCCACGGCUAACUACGUGCCAGCCGCCGCCGUAA